UACGGAGGGUGCAAGCGUUAAUCGGAAUUACUGGGCGUAAAGCGCACGCAGGUGGCUGAGAAAGUCGAUUGUGAAAGCCCUGGGCUUAACCUGGGAAUUGCAGUCGAAACUACUCGGCUAGAGUAUGGGAGAGGGUAGUGGAAUUCCCGGUGUAGCGGUGAAAUGCGUAGAUAUUCGGAAGAACACCAGUGGCGAAGGCGACUCACUGGACACGUAUUGACGCUGAGGUGCGAAAGCGUGGGGAGCAAACAGG
rnacentral:rRNA from 1 species